rnacentral:rRNA from 1 species
GAUGAACGCUGGCGGCGUGCCUAAUACAUGCAAGUCGAGCGAACAGACGAGGAGCUUGCUCCUCUGACGUUAGCGGCGGACGGGUGAGUAACACGUGGAUAACCUACCUAUAAGACUGGGAUAACUUCGGGAAACCGGAGCUAAUACCGGAUAAUAUAUGAAACCGCAGGGUUCAUUAUUGAAGGAGGUUUUUGCUGUAACUAAUAAAUGAUUCCGCGCCGAAUUAGCUAGUUGGUAAGGUAACGGCUUACCAAGGCAACGAUGCGUAGCCGACCUGAGAGGGUGAUCGGCCACACUGGAACUGAGACACGGUCCAGACUCCUACGGGAGGCAGCAGUAGGGAAUCUUCCGCAAUGGGCGAAAGCUUGACGGAGCAACGCCGCGUGAGUGAUGAAGGUCUUCGGAUCGUAAAACUCUGUUAUUAGGGAAGAACAAAUGUGUAAGUAACUAUGCACGUCUUGACGGUACCUAAUCAGAAAGCCACGGCUAACUACGUG